GACCUUGUGCAGUCAAGCAUCUGUGGGGCAUGAAGAGCAAUGCUUACAAAUGGUGUCAGCUCUUGAGCACAGGCGAACUCAUUUAAAAAGACAGGAGUCACAGGUGGUAAGGGGGAAUGGCAGUGUCUUCUUACCUCUACAGGCAGAAGCAGGUUUGUGGGUAGAGGCAAAGGUAGGUUUGAGCUAACACCUGCAUUAUAUUCUGGAUCCAUGGAAAUUUACCACAUACCAUAACACUGAUCUUGUCAGUAAUGUCCUACACGGAGAUCCACCACUUCCAAAAAUACCAUUUUUGGAUCCAGCUCUUUAUGCUUGGUUUCAGGAUUCUGUAACAAGAUGUCCAAUGCUGUGAAAACACAGAAUAGCUCCACUGCCAACCCAAGCUCCUCUUUCCUCAGCUCUGAUGGACAUUCAAGUUUGGUGGGAUUCCUGUGAGUCUGCAUUCCUCCUAUGUAAACUCAAGUCUUCAGAGCCUAUGACCCAUUUUUUUCUGCAGAUACAGAAACCCUUUCGUGCAAGAAGCAACUGGAAUGGCGAAACUUGUACAUGUUCUCUAUAUACUCCUUACUAGUGUUAGUGCUUUGUGGCUAUUGACUCCUUUUUUUCUGCAGGUUCUCUUUUACACUGGUGGCAUUUUACCUGAUUGAUAAUUCAAUUAUAUGAAAAUCCCUUGAUAUCAGUCUUAGUUUUGUGAAAUCCCUUAUCUACUGCUUGAAUAUAGACAGGCAUUUUGUCAAAACAAUAAAGCCAUUAUGUCAACACAAUUAAUUCUGUUAGCUGAUUAAAACAUUCUGCUAAGGAAUUAACCUCUAUUUGAGUACAGCCAAAUUAGCCCAGAGUCUUUGAUUCCUUUGUCUUUGACACUGGAUGCAGCUCCUUCAUAUGAACAUAACCUUUUUAACAGUAAGAGAGAUUUCGUGUUCUGCUAGCAAACUAAUGUGACUUUAGGCAUAAAGAUGUAGUUACUCUUGUUAGUCUAAAGAUGUAGUUAGUCUAAAGUCAAGUAGAAGCAGAAUAGAAUUGCACCUUAUAGACUAAUCAAAGGCAUUUCACCGAACCAUACCAUUCCACCUCCCUCUUGUCUGCUUAGACUGUUAGCUCUUCAGGGGGCUGUUCUUUACUUUAUAUUGUACAGGGUCCAACUUCCUCUUUAACUCAGGCACUGCCCUCCUGUUACGCAUUUGUUGAGUGUCAGAGGAAACAUGGAUCUGAUUUCUAAGUGGAUUCUUUUAGUACUACUGCAGUACUAAUGAUAAGAAAAGGUACUUAAUCUUGGUUGUUGUAAUAUAGAUCAUUUCAAAAUCUUUGGUUUAAGACUAGCUGAAUUGGCAUAGAUACGAGUCAUGCUAUCCUUGUGUCAUUUGACUUCAGAAAAUAGGUUAUAUUGUGUAUUUUCUUGCAUACCACACACUACACACUACUUUUUUUCCUGAAACUCAGCUGUUUGAAAUCAAGGUGCAUGGGUUAAGCAACCAUAUUCAGUAGCAGCCUGCUCUGCGCAUGCUUCCAUGCUGGGGCUGAAGUCGGGGGCUACAUAUAUGGCUUAGCUUCACCUGGAACUGGGGGCUGUGCAAGUUCACAGGUGGGGCUGGAGGUGGAGCUGAGGCUGGCACUGAGCACCCUGGCUAGCUACAGCUGCUGGAGCACUGGCAUCCCCUCUAAAUCAGCAUCCAGAGCUAGUGUCCCUUUCAUCCCAAACCCCUAAGUAAGCUGCUGCUGGGCUCCCUAGUUGCUGACUCUGGAUAUGCUGCACAGGUGCAGUCACUGCAUGGACCUGUGCAGCAUAUACAAGGUUACUUUCCCUUUCCCCCAGCAGAGGCUGGUGCUGCAGAAGACACUACUGACUCAGUAGGAGCCUCUCUGGCCCAGCAUCAGCUUGAUGUCCUGGGAUUCAGUUGCAUUGUAUUUCCUUGCUUGCCAGCAGACUCAAUAGGAGAGAACAACAACCUCUGGCUGCUGUUAGCCUUCUAACUGCUGGCUGUCCCUUUAACAAAGUAAAGCUGCAGGGAAGAAAAGGGAAAGUAACUCUUGGAGGGGCAUCCUCAAGGUGAUGCAGGGCAAACCCUGCUCUUGCAGAUGCUGCUGCUGAGGGAGAAAUGGUCCAUGCACAACAAGUAACUAGAGGGUUAAUAGAGCAGCCACAAAGCAUUGCUCAAUUCCACUGCAGCUGUCAGCAUUUAUGCUCCUGUCAAGAAUUUUUUUCUGGCUUAUGAAAACAGGGUGUCAUAUAUGUCUUAGCAGGUGCGGGAGAGUGGGCAUGUGAGUAAAUAUGGUUUUUGAAGCCUUUGGUCCCAAACAUUUUUGAAGAGUGCUGAAAAUUAGAGGUUCAAAUCGUAAUACUUUUUUUUUCAAGGAAAAUGAAAUUCACCUACUACAGAUGGUCCCAUGUCCCGUGUCAGCACGUAAUAAUAAGCAACAUAAAUUCUUGUGUGCACCCUCUAUACUGGAGUGCAUUUUGCUUGCUAUUUCACAGGCAGCACCAUUCAGCCCUAUGCAGGUGAGGGGUAGCAUGAGAAUUUUCCUACUAAAUGGAAAAAGAAGGGGUGAUUGACUUCACUUAGGCUUCCAUUCUUCAGAUGGUACCAUUCCCCCAUCUAAAUGUAAUGAAAAUAUCACCUUGUCACUUGCCUGUGAAUAUAAGGCAUCUUUGAUCAACUUUAAAAGCAGAUAUUGUAGAAAAUAAAUGCAAAUGUGAACUACAAGGGAAAAUAAAUGCUUCAUAUUUUAUUUGGCCACAGGAGUCUGCAGCAACGUGUCCAGCAUUACCAAAACAACAGAAAAACUGCUCUGCUAACCUAAACACCUCUUCUCUCGGCCUUCAUAGGCAUUCAGGUUUGGUGGGAUUCCUGUGACAUUCUGCAUUCUACCUAUGCAAACACAGGUUGUUUAAUGGCGGGGGGGGGGGACAUUUUAAAGCCUGUAUUAAUGUAAAUAAUUUUUUAUAUGAUAUAUGAGUGAGUUAUUCCAUAUCGUGGAAGUGCAUGGCACUUCACAGGUGAGUAAGAGACAAUGUACAUGCCAAAGGGUACUUGUACCAUAAGAGUGGAUCCAAUAACUGCAGUCAAUGAGAGUUUUUUUAUAUUGUUUUGAGCAAGUGUUAGGUCAGGUCCUCAGGUUCCAGGUCUGUGUCAAUGAAUAUAGUGUACAUAUUUACCUAUGGAGAAUACUGUCAGCUUUAGUGGAUUUACCAAAGGUACUGUGGUCCUUGGUACUGGGUUUGGAUUCAGGCUAGGAAUUUAAGUUAAACAACAAGGUGGAAGAGAAGCGGAGACAAGUAAGACAUUAGAGAGAGAGAAUGGGGAAGUAAAAUGCUGGACUGGGCCUCAGGAAAAUAUCCUCUGACACAGAAAUUGAUUACGACAGCUGCAAGCCUCGUUCCACAAAUGUUGGCAAAAGAGUAAUGCUGGGAUAUGUCUGGGUUGUCUAUAAUAGGUGCCACUAUAGCAAUUCUGCCUGUUUCUACAGCUUCUGGUGGUCUGAGGAUCCUGGCAGGUGUUACAUUUAUUGCAUGGUUAAUUAUGCAUUUGCACAACAAUUACAGUACGCCAAGUGCUCAGUCAAUAUAUGGCAUAAUAAAAUGCAACAGACACAUUUGAUGCAGGUUUGAAAUGUAAUAUGGAACACCUUUGUGGCUGGUUUAUAUCAUGCUUUAAAUUGAACUUGAUAUGCAUUCCACACCUGGGGCUGCUCCCUGCCCAUCAUGGGUAUUAGCUUCUUGUCAGGAUUGGGCACAGGGCAGUCCCAGGGUCCAGGACACAGCAGUCCCUUGCCCAAUCUCCAGUAUCAGCUGAUAAGUGGGAUUAAGCAGGGGGCCCCAGUAGUCAUGUGACUGGAAUCUAAGAAAUGUUACACCUGGUGCCAAAAGUAUCACAUCCUGCCACACAGUCUGGCAUGGCAGGAGACAUGAUUUUUUUUACAUCAGGCAUCAAAUUCUUUGGAACCCAAUCAUACCAUUAUAUUAACAUCUGUCCAGGUCCUAAGUUAGGAGCCCCUGACAUUUUGCCCACUUCAGCAGUCUACGGCACAGCUGUUUUAGGGUAUAGAUGUAUGUACAAUGGGAGCUAUUUCGAAAGGGGAUCAUUUCAGCAGCUCUUACAUUCAGACAAGCUGGGAAUUAUACGAAUGUAGCAAAACCACAGCCAGUUUUGUUCUGCGUUUCCCAGAAUCACACUCACAGUUAUGCUAAGUAAAAUAGUGAGGAUACCAGGGCGGUGGGGAACGUCACACAUGCAUCUUAUAAGUGAAUUAUUUUUCUGUCACUUCACUGCACUUUUGGUUUUUCUUUUACACCAUCUUGGCAUUAACUCCAUAUUGGCAUUCAUUUAUAUUUCCUUUUAAGGGUUGUGUGUAAGUUCAGAAAGAAGUUCAUUUAUCUGCUUGGCCACAGGCUUUUUUGUGUCCUUGGCCGAGUCACUUAGCUUCUUUCUUCCUCAGUCCCCCUUCCCACCCCAUGUGGAAAAUGGGAAUAAAAGCCCUGCUUCUCCUGCUCAUACUCUGAAAACUCUCAGGUACCUACUUAGAAGGUCUUGGUCUUCUGUUCAGGGUCACACUGGGCAGUAACUGCCUGUACUGCAUAGUCCCAGUGCCACAUAGUGUCACAGUUUGUGCCCGUCGAUGCUACAUUGCCAUAGGGACAACCUACAUCGCCAUAGCUCGUCACUACGGUAUGUAGCGUCUUGUGUAGACGUGCCCACUGAUCACCAAAUUUGGGGGCAGGAAGGAAUUUUUCCCCCACGUCAGAUGGGUAGGGACUGUGGGGUUUUAUCUUCCUCUGUAGUGUGGUAGGUGAUGGUCUUUUUCAGGGCAUAUUUUAAUGAAUUUUGCAGGAGAAGUACCAUCAACGCUACCUGCAAAAGAGUCUCCAAAUCCAAUGGGAAGACAGAUGCACCAACCUUAGCAUCCUUCUGCAAGCAAACACCACAAGUAUUGAGCUGCCCAGAUGUCUGACUCCAGGCUCCCAAAGCAAGUUUUCUCCCAACUCAUCCCAGGCACACUUUCAAGAGGAGGGCAAAGAAAGCACUUCAGGGACAUCUUCAAGGCCCACUUAAAAAUGCAAUAUCAACGUAAACUUUUUGGAGACUAUCACACAGGACCACCUGACGUGGAGGAAGAGUCUGAUGCAGGGAGCUUAGUGCUUUGAAAACUCAUGACAUCAACAGCAGGUGGAAAAGCAGGAACAGCGUGUUGAGGAUCUAAUCAAGUAUCCAAUGCCACCCACCCCAUGUGGAAACAUAGUAAAGUCUGUUGAUCCCAAACAGGCCUCAUUAGUCAUGUUCGGACACAUAGGUAAGACAGUCAUGGAAAACAAUCAUCCUAGACUGUGAGGGAUUGCCAAAGAUUAAUGAAUUGCUCCUUUUGCAUUCCAACAGCAGGGCAUUGGCAGUGUUUUCAUAUCUAUGGCAUGUUAUAUGAUGUUCUUGAUUUCUCUGGCUUUGUCAAUAUGGUCAAUAUAGUGUGUGAGGGUUUGGCAUGGAUCCUCAAUUUCCCUAAACUAAUUAUGGUCACCCUACUUAGGAAGCUUUGAGUAAAUAGUGUUCUGUGAAUGCAGGGAAGUAGAUCCAGGUCUUUAAGACGCCCCUUUCACUGUUUCUUUGUAAGCAUUUAAAACAGAAAAGUAGGAACAAAGCUCUCAGGCUGCUUUCAUUGCUUUGCCAAAGCAGUUAAAUUGGUGUUCUCUUGCUAGUACAUGCAGGCCUUUUGCUCAGCCUGAAAUGUGUAGGAGUGCAUCAUUUUUGUGCGUUUCUACCUUCUUCUCUGCACCUUUGCAGGAUUCAAAGCACAAGAGCAAAAUUGAUCUUAGCCCUAAUUUUAUCGUUGAACAAUACAGCAUGCAGCAGUUACAGAGUGCAGCAUUGUAUGUAUAGUUUUUGAUGUUGCUUCUAGAAGAGUUUUGCAGACUUUAACAAGAUUUCCUCAAUAAAUAACCUAGGAAAUUCCUGAGAUUGUAUCUCAAUAUCCAGAACUCUUGCAGUUUUGGGGCACCUGCCUCUUAUCUUUUCAGUCCAGUGGCAGUUAAAUUGUUUUGCCUUCUGCUUUCUGAAAGGCAAGAGUUUAGCUUCACAUAGUGCAGGGUAGGAUGUGAACUGUUUGAUUAUCAAUGGAAUCUUGAUUAGCAAUUUUCCUUCCAUUUGUCCUUGCAAUGAUUAAGGAAUAUUCAGCUACUUUUUCAUAUGUUUAAGUAGCUCCUUUUUCUUUCCAUUAGGCCAACCCUUAUUUCUAUUGCAAAUAAUUAACUUCAUUGGGAGGAGGCUUUGGAUCUUUGUUUUCAUGUAUUGCUUUGAAGCAGCUUGUAAAAUACCAUUCUGGCUUUUUCUUUGCAUGCUGAGCACGAGAGUGAUGCAGCAAAGCACUUAUUUAAGCACAGGUCAGAUUUUAAGUACAAAAGCAAUCCCACUGAAGUCAAUACACUGUAGUUAAGCGCCUGCCUAAGUGUUUCGCUGGACUGACAUGAGAAGUCUCCGAACUUGCAGGACUCCAGUUGUGUGAAGCAAAUAUGGUCAGCUUCAAGUUUGCCAUGGCUUUAAUUUUAUAGGCAGGAUUUUUCUUUUCUAUUUAUCAUUUAUUAUUUGACAUAUUUUCAACACAUUUGCUGUGGCGUAGUCCUUGAAGUGGCUAUCUUAGUGAGCUGCCAGAGUCCCAUCUAACAUAUGGUAUAUUCAUAUAAAAAAAACCUUGGCAGGCAAGAUAAUCUUACUCUCUGAACUCAUAGGAAAGCAUAGGAAUUAACAAUAGUAACAAACAAUAUAAUGAUUAAUUUUCCAUUUUUGGUUAACAAACCAAUUUCCCUAUAUAGUAGUAUGAUAGUGAUGUUACCUUAGUCAUAAAACACUGGAAACAGAGUUGUAUGUGUUGUCUUGCUCUUAGGAAACGUUCCACUCAAAGCACUAGUACAUGCAUAUGGGAAGGCAUCUUGCAUUACCUGGAUGAACUAGAUAACCCCACAGGACAUUUCCAUCUUUAAGUCUGAAGAUGCUUAAUGCUCUCUGAAGUGGUUCAUUUCUCAACUGUCCUGAGUAAGCCCUCUGCUUAUGAAAGCUUAUGCUAUGCAUCUCUGAUUUAGUUAUUUGUGCAAUUCUACCCUGGUUUCUGCCUGACUUCAGACUAACACAGCUAAUUACCUCUUUUUCCUUAGAUGUAGUCACAGCAGGCCUGGCAAGUACAAACACCUUACAAAAUGUUGCCUGAAAUGAUUCUGUGGAUGCUCCCUGCCUCCAAAAUGUACUUUAACAUUCUUCUAGGUAACAUUUAAAUGGAGUUGCAUUAAGAAGAAUCUAAAUUGUGUAUUGAUUCUAAAUUACAUUUUUCCGUUUAUUUUUCAUUUGCCAAGUUUAUUAAAUCUUCUCUGUAGAAGCCUGGUAUCACUUAUCCUAGCCAUAAAAACUAAAUUAAAUUUCUAUCAUAAAACAUUUCCUUCCU